rnacentral:lncRNA from 1 species
CAUCUCUUAUAGGCAGAAGCUCCUCUCCCUCUCUCUCUCAUCGACGUAAAUAUCUAUCAUUCUUUCUCUCCAUCUAUCUCUUAUUGGCAUAACUCCUCUCAUUAUUUCGCUUCCUCUCUCUCGUUGAUGUAAAUACCUCUCAUUCUCUCUCUCUCAUUGGCACACCCAAGCUUUCUCUUUCUCCCUCUGAAACUCUCUCCCCUGUCUCUCAUCAGAACCAUGA